AGGCGCGGGCUCAACCCGCGGACGGCACAUGAUACUGCGAGACUAGAGUAAUGGAGGGGGAACCGGAAUUCUCGGUGUAGCAGUGAAAUGCGUAGAUAUCGAGAGGAACACUCGUGGCGAAGGCGGGUUCCUGGACAUUAACUGACGCUGAGGCACGAAGGCCAGGGGAGCGAAAGGGAUUAGAUACCCCUGUAGUCCUGGCAGUAAACGGUGCACGCUUGGUGUGCGGGGAAUCGACCCCCUGCGUGCCGGAGCUAACGCGUUAAGCGUGCCGCCUGGGGAGUACGGUCGCAAGAUUAAAACUCAAAGAAAUUGACGGGGACCCGCACAAGCGGUGGAGUAUGUGGCUUAAUUCGAUGCAACGCGAAGAACCUUACCUGGGCUUGACAUGUAAUGAACAACAUGUGAAAGCAUGCGACUCUUCGGAGGCGUUACACAGGUGCUGCAUGGCCGUCGUCAGCUCGUGUCGUGAGAUGUUUGGUUAAGUCCAGCAACGAGCGCAACCCCUGUUGCCAGUUACCAGCACGUGAAGGUGGGGACUCUGGCGAGACUGCCCAGAUCAACUGGGAGGAAGGUGGGGACGACGUCAGGUCAGUAUGGCCCUUAUGCCCAGGGCUGCACACGUACUACAAUGCCCAGUACAGAGGGGGCCGAAGCCGCGAGGCGGAGGAAAUCCUGAAAACUGGGCCCAGUUCGGACUGUAGGCUGCAACCCGCCUACACGAAGCCGGAAUCGCUAGUAAUGGCGCAUCAGCUACGGCGCCGUGAAUACGUUCCCGGGUCUUGUACACACCGCCCGUCACAUCAUGGAAGCCGGUCGCACCCGAAGUAUCUGAAGCCAACCGCAAGGAGGCAGGGUCCUAAGGUGAGACUGGUAACUGGGAUGAAGUCGUAACAAGGUAGCCGUAGGGGAACCUGCGGCUG
rnacentral:rRNA from 1 species